UACAGAGGUCCCGAGCGUUGUUCGGAUUCACUGGGCGUAAAGGGUGCGUAGGUGGUGCGGUAAGUCGGAUGUGAAAUCUCCGGGCUCAACCCGGAAAUGGCAUUGGAAACUACCUUGCUAGAGGAAUUGAGGGGGGAUUGGAAUACUUGGUGUAGCAGUGAAAUGCGUAGAUAUCAAGUGGAACACCAGUGGCGAAGGCGAAUCCCUGGAAAAUACCUGACACUGAGGCACGAAAGCUAGGGGAGCAAACAGG
rnacentral:rRNA from 1 species